CUUGAACACAGAAAUGACUCGAUCGAGCAAAUCACCACGAUAAAAGUUUUAUGAAACCCACCAUUAGUCGAGCAUAAUUUUAGUGGUACCAUGAUCAGACAAUAAUGAUCAGGCAUAUUUCCAAAUGGCAACAUUUGGUAAGGAAUAUGGGCGUCUCCUAUUAGAGGGCAAAUUAACUUUGAAUAUGGGAUGGAAAUCUAAAAUGUACCGUGAUCGUG